GACGAACGCUGGCGGCGUGCCUAAUACAUGCAAGUAGAACGCACAGUUUAUACCGUAGCUUGCUACACCAUAGACUGUGAGUUGCGAACGGGUGAGUAACGCGUAGGUAACCUGCCUGGUAGCGGGGGAUAACUAUUGGAAACGAUAGCUAAUACCGCAUAAUAUUGAUUAUUGCAUGAUAAUUGAUUGAAAGAUGCUAUUGCAUCACUACCAGAUGGACCUGCGUUGUAUUAGCUAGUAGGUGAGGUAACGGCUCACCUAGGCGACGAUACAUAGCCGACCUGAGAGGGUGAUCGGCCACACUGGGACUGAGACACAGCCCAGACUCCUACGGGAGGCAGCAGUAGGGAAUCUUCGGCAAUGGACGAAAGUCUGACCGAGCAACGCCGCGUGAGUGAAGAAGGUUUUCGGAUCGUAAAGCUCUGUUGUAAGAGAAGAACGGGUGUGAGAGUGGAAAGUUCACACUGUGACGGUAUCUUACCAGAAAGGGACGGCUAACUACGUG
rnacentral:rRNA from 1 species